rnacentral:precursor_RNA from 14 species
CCCCCAGAAGAGUUCCAGUUUGGGGAGGCCUGGAGUUCCGGGUAGUCCAGAGCCGGGAGUCAGGCUCUAGCCGCCCGAAACACCCGCUCUCCCAGACUCCCUUGCGCCUGGGCAGUG